rnacentral:misc_RNA from 1 species
GAAAUGCGAUAAGUAAUGUGAAUUGCAGAAUUCAGUGAAUCAUCGAAUCUUUGAACGCACCUUGCGCUCCUUGGUAUUCUGAGGAGCAUGCCUGUUUGAGUGUCAUUUAAUUCUCAACCCCACCAGCUUUGUGUGGCUGGCUUGGUGGCUUGGAUAAUGGGGGUUACGUGCGGGUCUCUUUCUUUUGAGGUCAGCUCCCCUGAAAUGCAUUAGCGGAACGGUUUGCAGUCCUGUCACUGGCAUGAUAAACUAUCUAUGCUAACACAUGAUGGGUUGCUCUCUGGUAGUUCAGCUUCUAACUGUCCCAUUUCAUGGACAACUGUGUGCAUACACAACUUUGACAUUUGACCUCAAAUCAGGUAGGACUACCCGCUGAACUUAA